AGCACAUAAAGUGCAUGGGGAUACGUUUAAGGCCAAGGAAGUGAAUGCCUUUUUGCAUUUACAAUGGCUGCACAUUACUUUCUACUUGGAGAAUUCCCAUUUUUACAUUGCUUUCAUUUUUGCUUCUUAAGAAACGUACCAGCACCCCUAAAUUAAACCAUUCUCUCUUAGCUAAUCAUUUUGUUUCUUAAGAAAAUUAGCAUUAACCAUGGCUGCCAAGCUCACGGCCAUGGCAGUCCACAAUAAGGCUCAAUAUUUUGAUAGCAAAAUGAAAUAAAAUAAAUAAAUAAAUAAUCUCCGAGGUGUUCUAAGUGUUUGAGGGAGCAGCAAGAUCAGAAGUUAAAGUUGAAGAAGAUGAAAUGGGCAAAUUGUGCAAGUUAUUGGAAGAUCUGUCCUAAUUAUAUUUGAGACCUGCGAGCUCGAGAAGUAGACGUUGGACAUUAGAUAGAGUUCAAGGUAUGUGAGGCUAGUCCUUUCUUUCUAUGGCAUGAAUCUUAUAGCUUGACUCUCUUUUUAUCCAUGAGUUUCCUUAAGUUCUGAAAAAUACGAGUCUAUGUCCAUAAUUAGACACACAAGGUAAUGAGUAAAGUAUAGAAAUCCCAAUACUCAUGUUGUGAUGAUCCUAUGAUGUUAAUGAUGUUAUUUAUUGCUUACACUCACCUUAUAUGCUAAUUCCUUCAAGGUGAGGCAGGAUGCCAAUGAAUGUUCCAUAAUGACGUCGGAAGCCACCGACUUUACGUCACUCCGAUAUAGUUAUGGCUUUUGAUUGGGCUCUUAUGCAUGCUUUAUAUAUAUACGUAUGUAUUUUCUCACACCGCGCCGCGCUAUAGUCGGUCGGGCAGGCACGUAGAUGUGCACACCACUAUAGUGGGCAGCUUAUACCCCGGACGCGGGAGGCCUGGAUGCAGGCUAUGAUUAUCACACCGCUCCUACCUGGACGGGCAGCUUAUACAUUAUCACACCGUACCUAUAUGGACGGGCAGCUUAUAUGUGUAUACAUACAUGGUAAUGAUUAUGAGUAAGUGAGCAUGCAUUAUUUCAGUUAUUUUUGAUAGCCAGUACAGAUUGCCCUUUCUUGAUGCCUCCUUUAUCUCAUUGAUGCCUUCAUAUUUCAUUGAUAUAUUGCUAUUGUUUAUGCCUCUCAUACUCAGUACAAUAUUCGUACUGACGUCCGUUUUCUUCGGACGCUGUGUUCAUGCCCACAGGUAGACAGGGAGGUGAGCUUGAUCCAGAUUCUUAGUAGCUGUCAGCUGAUUGAGAGCACUCCAUUGUUCGGAGGUGCUUAUGUUUAUUCUUUUGGCUCCUUUAUGUAUUUCGCGCACGACGGAGUCUUGUUCCGUCUAUAUGUAUAAUAUGUCAGUAGAGGCUCGUAGAUGCGCAGUGUGGGUUAGAUGGUCUCACAAGAUUACUAUGUUAUAUUUGUAUAUGUUAUUUUGAUGGCCUAAGGGGCACAUGUAUAAUAAAAUCAUUUGUGUUGUCAAAUGAAAAAUGGUUGUCUUA